GACGAACGCUGGUGGCGUGCUUAACACAUGCAAGUCGAACGGGAUUUAGUAAACAGACGCCUCGGUGGAAGAUUACUAAUGAGAGUGGCGAACGGGUGAGUAACGCGUGAGCAACCUGCCUAUGACAGUGGGAUAGCCUCGGGAAACCGGGAUUAAUACCGCAUAAAAUCGUAGAAACACAUGUUUUUACGGUCAAAGAUUUAUCGGUCAUAGAUGGGCUCGCGUCUGAUUAGCUAGUUGGUGAGAUAACAGCCCACCAAGGCGACGAUCAGUAGCCGGUCUGAGAGGAUGAACGGCCACAUUGGAACUGAGACACGGUCCAAACUCCUACGGGAGGCAGCAGUGGGGAAUAUUGCACAAUGGGGGAAACCCUGAUGCAGCGACGCCGCGUGAACGAAGAAGGUAUUCGUAUCGUAAAGUUCUGUCCUAUGGGAAGAUAAUGACAGUACCAUAGAAGAAAGCUCCGGCUAAAUACGUG
rnacentral:rRNA from 1 species